rnacentral:snRNA from 1 species
AGCUUUGCGCAGUGGCAGUAUUGUAGUCAAUGAGGUUUAUCCGAGGUGCAAUUAUUGCUAAUCAAAAAAAAAAAAAAAAAAC